GGAGGCAGCUAACCACGGUAGGGUCAGCGACUGGGGUGAAGUCGUAACAAGGUAGCCGUAGGGGAACCUGCGGCUGGAUCACCUCCUUUCUAAGGAAGCUGUGGAAUUGGUAAGACGAUCGGCAGAUGUCGCAAGACAUUCCCCGAUAUGAACCUUCCCGUGCUUUUUAGAACAUAGAUGGCGCCAGUCAGGCGACCAUCGAAACGCAAUACGCCACGGAAUGCUUCGGCAUCGGAUGGUAUGGCGGACUGCGCCGUCCACGUUUCUCUUUCUUCAAGAAGAUAUCGAACCAUUGGGUUGCGCUCAUGCGCUACGAUGUCGGGCAUUUGCUCGAUGUAAGCGAUGGGCCCGUAGCUCAGUUGGUUAGAGCACACGCUUGAUAAGCGUGGGGUCGGUAGUUCAAGUCUACCCGGGCCCACCAUUCACUUUGAGUGAUGGUCUGCUGCUGACGCGUGGUUCUUGGUUUAACUGAUCCUGGCGGUUUGCUGUCAGGUGUUGCGAUGGUUGGGGCUGUAGCUCAGCUGGGAGAGCACCUGCUUUGCAAGCAGGGGGUCAGCGGUUCGAUCCCGCUCAGCUCCACCAAAUCGCUUGGUGUUGAACUGGGGGAUGAAGAUAUCUUUUGAAGAAAACAAAGUUUUGCAUCGACUUCGGUCUGAUGCCUGUUCUGCAUAUAUCGUGAAGAGAAGAUUGAUCUGGAGGCUUCCAGGUGUUGGGUUUAUGACCUGACGUCCGAGCCCAGUUCCUGAGAAACCAUGGAUGGCCUAGCCGGCUGGAUAUGGUGGAGGGAUUGGAGGUAGGAAGGAAGCUUGUCGCUCUGGGUCGUCAGUACAAACUGCGUAGCGGUUUGUGCGUGUUGUUUGGGGUCUUUCGGGACUUCAUCUGACGGACGACUUGAUUGCCGUUGCCUGACCGCGCGGUAUCGGAUCACAUCUCGAGAAGCUGGUCUUAAAGAUGAGACUGCAAGCGAACUGCUCGGCGUAGUUCCAAUAAAGCAGUCUUGUCGAACACGUCGAUGGCAUCAUUAGAAAGCAUUGGUUGUAAAAGGUAACCGCUGCAUAGCUGGUACGACAAACUCAGGUUUGUCCGUAUGACCGGUUUGGAACCCCU
rnacentral:misc_RNA from 1 species